GUGAUAUGCGGUUUUAAACUUUCUUUUCAUUAAGUGUAUAUAUGUAUAUUGUUUAAAUGCUUUUAAAUGGUGAAUAAGACGUUUUCUUUUUGCUUUUAAUAACUUCUUUUAAACUUUCUUUUUCAUUAAGUGUGUGUGUGUGUGUGUGUGUGUGUGUGUGUGUGUAUAAAAUGAGAUAAUAGUGACAAUAUCUAAAAAUAUAAAUUAUAAAAAAGGGGUUAUUACAUCAGGAUAUGCAAUGUGUUUUAUUUUAUGUUGUCAUUAAUAUUAUUAUUAUUUUAUUUAUUUAAAAUCAUAUAUUUUCAUUGUUAUAGAUAUCCAGGAAUUUAUUGAAGAACAUUUAAUUUCACACCAGGAGGAAGUAAUUGAGCAUCCUCCUAUGCUCAUUCCCCUCUCACCUACAAUCAUUCCAUUGUCCCCGACAUUUUUUUUGGAUAGUCAGAAUGAUACAAUCCCAGGGCACAGCAUUUCCCUUGAGCUACCGUGCGAUCUAAUCGUGCCUGAGGACUUUUUAAAUAAUUUCUCAGUGAUAACAGAAAAGCCGGAAAAAGCUGAAUAUAUUGAAGAUUCUGAGCUUUUGGAACAGUACUUCAAGACAUCCUUCAGUGAUCUAGCGUCAGACUCCGAAUUGUCUAAAAAAGUUCCUGAAAAUUCCGAAAGGAACGACGUGGCCGGUACUUCGGAGGAGGGCCAGGUUAUACAUGCGUAUACCCCCUUGGAGCAUCCCAAUAGACCUCAAAAAUCUGCAAAAAGACCUCUCAAAA